UAUAUAUAAGUGUAAAUAACACAGAAACUUUUGAUGUUUCAAAUAAUAGAAUAAAAUCCUAUUAUAUAUAA
rnacentral:tRNA from 1 species